rnacentral:misc_RNA from 1 species
AAGUCGUAACAAGGUUUCCGUAGGUGAACCUGCGGAAGGAUCAUUACCAAAAAAAGAAAAUUUAAUUUUUUUUUUUAAACAAUUAUUCAUCCAACCUGUGAACCUAACCUAAUUGAAAUUGAAACGUUUAAAUAUAAUUUAUUUAUAUUUAAACCCACAAAUCCAAUUCAUAUCACUCUAUAUAUUUUUUUAAUACUUUAUAACAGUGUUUUAUUGUUAAAUCAAUAAUUAAUUUAUACACAACUUUCAGCAACGGAUCUCUAGGCUCUU